ensembl:lncRNA
AGACCACUCCCACUUCUUCAGUUAUGUCAUACAGACCACUCCCACUUCUUCAGUUAUGUCAUACAGACCACUCCCACUUCUUCACUUAUGUCAGAUAGACCACUCCCUUAGUGAGGUCACAGAUGUGUUCAUGUAGUUUUGGAAUCUAUAAAGCUCACCGUGUAGCUCUGGAACGUUAGUUAUGGAGGACUUUGACCAUCAGAUUCAUAGAAAUUAUUUGACGUGACAUUCCCACAGGAUUAAGAUCUCACAUGUAAAACUGUAUCCAUCGUACAGAUGUUUGUGUCUCUAUGUUUUAAAACACGUAAAACACAUUGCCUGCAGUUCGAAGCUAUUUUAUGGCAUGAGCAGUGCUGAUUAACACUAUUUAAAAGUUUAAUAUAUUUAAUCCAUUAUUAUGGAGCAAAAAUCUAAAUGACACAAGCAAGUUACGGAGCAUCGAGCACAGAUUGCCCUGCAGCUCUUCACUGUAAUGUGUUAUUAGCAGAACAGUGACAUUAGUCAUGGAUGCAUCUUCAGUGUAGUUAGGUUAAUUUUACCACAUAGCUUGUAGCAUAGCUAUACAUAAUUUCAUUACUAUAACAGAUUGUAAAGAAAUCAGACGUUUCUCUCAGAGUCACGCUGCUUCUGAUGAAUUAAAAACAUUCUGGACAUAUCUCUCCACAGAGACUGUAUGAGUUUAGAGCAUUUUCAUUACUGCAGAAUCACUUUCCCGUGAUCAGAGUUUGGCAUCAUUCUGACCCCAAGUUUAACUGUGUUAACUAAAUCUGCAUCAUAGUUCCAGUGCAACACACAAACACACAAACACACACACUCACACACUCACACACACACACACACAAAUGUUAUACAGUUAUUUGAUUGCAUGAAUGCAUUCAAGAUUCUGUAGAUUAAAAAAAACAUCAAAUAUUAUUUAUUGUAAUAAAAAAUUUGUACAUGUCUGUGUUUUGGCCUUUUUGUGUAAAUUAUUUUAAUAUUAAAUGUCAACAUCAGCUGAGAUUAUGCAUUUAAUCACUCAGUACUGGCUUUAACCCUUCAUUUACACACACAAACAAACAGAUAUUUAUUUAAAUAAAAAUACAAACUGGGAAAAAUUAAAGUGAACGUCAAUAUUUCUUACUACAAUGCACUAUAAUAAUCGGAGGUGGUGGCCUCUGUACCUGUAAGUCCCAGUGAAGGAGGUGUGGCCUCUGUACCUGUAAGUCCCAGUGAAGGAGGUGUGGCCUCUGUACCUGUAAGUCCCAGUGAAGGAGGUGUGUCCUCUGUACCUGUAAGUCCCAGUGAAGGAGGUGUGGCCUCUGUACCUGUCAGUCUCUGUGAAGGAGGUAAGAUUUAUCUGUACAGAGGUUUAUCUGUGCUGUGGUCCUCAAACUGUUUGUGGGGGUUUCUGAACUGUAUGUGAGCUGUUCUCCACCCAUUGCACCUGCGCUGCACACUAGACCUUCCAGCAUCACAGCAUACACCGAUUCAUUCACUACUGU